CCUUGUGUCAGUAUUUUCCAGGCUGACCAGGCUCAUACAGGGCUGAGCCUGGUUAGUACCUGGAUGGAAGACCUCCUGGGAAAACUAGGUUGCUGCUGGAA
rnacentral:rRNA from 1 species